rnacentral:rRNA from 1 species
CCAGACUCCUACGGGAGGCAGCAGUGGGGAAUAUUGCACAAUGGGGGAAACCCUGAUGCAGCGACGCCGCGUGAGCGAUGAAGUAUUUCGGUAUGUAAAGCUCUAUCAGCAGGGAAGAAAAUGACGGUACCUGACUAAGAAGCCCCGGCUAACUACGUGCCAGCAGCCGCGGUAAUACGUAGGGGGCAAGCGUUAUCCGGAUUUACUGGGUGUAAAGGGAGCGUAGACGGCCAUUCAAGCCAGAUGUGAAAGCCCGGGGCUCAACCCCGGGACUGCAUUUGGAACUGUGCGGCUAGAGUGUCGGAGAGGCAGGCGGAAUUCCUAGUGUAGCGGUGAAAUGCGUAGAUAUUAGGAAGAACACCAGUGGCGAAGGCGGCUUGCUGGACAGUAACUGACGUUGAGGCUCGAAAGCGUGGGGAGCAAACAGGAUUAGAUACCCCAGUA